rnacentral:lncRNA from 1 species
UCCACUCAUGACUCCGCAGAAGGGAAACACACUUGACCACAGCCUGCACAAAGACCUCUUGGGUGCCAUCUCCGGCAUUGCUUCUCCGUAUACAGCUUCAACCCCCAACAUCAACAGUGUGAGAAAUGCCGACUCAAGGGGCUCUCUCAUCAGCACGGACUCGGGGAACAGCCUUCCAGACAGGAACCCCGAGAAGAGCAACUCCCUGGACAAGGUGAUUUCUUCCCGCUUAAAACAGGGUUUCUGGGGGCUGGGGAUUUAGCUCAGUGGUAGAGCGCUUACCUAGGAAGCACAAGGCCCUGGGUUCGGUCCCCAGCUCCGAAAAAAAGAACCAAAAAAAAAAAAAAAAAA